rnacentral:rRNA from 1 species
CGUAGGUGCAAGCGUUGUCCGGAAUUAUUGGCGUAAGAGCUCGUAGGCGGUCUGUCGCGUCGGCUGUGAAACUCGGGCUCAACCCCGAGCCUGCAGUCGAUACGGGCAGACUAGAGUGCUGUAGGGAGACUGGAAUUCCUGGUGUAGCGGUGAAAUGCGCAGAUAUCAGGAGGAACACCGGUGGCGAAGGCGGGUCUCUGGGCAGUAACUGACGCUGAGGAGCGAAAGCGUGGGAGCGAACAGGAUU